ACCCAGUCGGGAUGAAGACUUCUCCACCCAGCCACCCCACCCACUUAGUCUUCCUAGGUUACAGACUCUACCCCUCCCCUCAGCGAGGCCACUUCUAGUUAUGGAUAAAAUUGCGUACUACAGUAGGUAGGGUGGAUACUCAGAUAGUCCUGUACAACACCUAUACAAACUGUCUCAAUUCAUUAACAAACGAACUACCGAAGGACAAGAUGUCAUGUGACCAGCUACUUCAAGUUUCUGUUGCCCAGACUUCCUUCCAUGAUCAACUGUACCUUGAACUAUGAGUGUACAUAAAUGACUCUUGAAA
ensembl:lincRNA 1700031P21Rik RIKEN cDNA 1700031P21 gene